AGAAAGUUAGUUUAUUAAAAAUUUAGGGUUGUCAACCCUGAGAAGCUUGGGUAGCACUUUCUU
rnacentral:tRNA from 1 species